rnacentral:rRNA from 1 species
CUUUGGCAUUGGCAGCGGUCCAAGUUCCUUGGAACAGGACGUCACAGAGGGUGAGAAUCCCGUACGUGGUCGCUAGCCUUUACCGUGUAAAGCCCCUUCGACGAGUCGAGUUGUUUGGGAAUGCAGCUCUAAAUGGGAGGUAAAUUUCUUCUAAAGCUAAAUACUGGCCAGAGACCGAUAGCGCACAAGUAGAGUGAUCGAAAGAUGAAAAGCACUUUGGAAAGAGAGUUAAAAAGCACGUGAAAUUGUUGAAAGGGAAGCGCUUGCAGCCAGACUUGCCUGUAGUUGCUCAUCCGGGUUUCUACCCGGUGCACUCUUCUAUGGGCAGGCCAGCAUCAGUUUGGGCGGUUGGAUAAAGGUCUCUGUCAUGUACCUCUCUUCGGGGAGAACUUAUAGGGGAGACGUCAUGCAACCAGCCUGGACUGAGGUCCGCGCAUCUGCUAGGAUGCUGGCGUAAUGGCUGUAAGCGGCCCGUCUUGAAACACGGACCAAGGAGUCUAACAUCUAUGCGAGUGUUUGGGUGUCAAGCCCGAGCGCGUAAUGAAAGUGAACGGAGGUGGGAACCUUUCGGGGUGCACCAUCGACCGAUCCUGAUGUCUUCGGAUGGAUUUGAGUAAGAGCAUAGCUGUUGGGACCCGAAAGAUGGUGAACUAUGCUUGAAUAGGGUGAAGCCAGAGGAAACUCUGGUGGAGGCUCGCAGCGGUUCUGACGUGCAAAUCGAUCGUCAAAUUUGGGCAUAGGGGCGAAAGACUAAUCGAACUAUCUAGUAGCUGGUUCCUGCCGA